UACGGAGGGUGCAAGCGUUAUCCGGAUUUACUGGGUUUAAAGGGUGCGUAGGCGGAUAGGUAAGUCAGGGGUGAAAUCUUCGAGCUUAACUCGGAAAUUGCCUUUGAUACUAUCUAUCUUGAAUAUUGUGGAGGUAAGCGGAAUAUGUCAUGUAGCGGUGAAAUGCUUAGAGAUGACAUAGAACACCUAUUGCGAAGGCAGCUUACUACGCAUAUAUUGACGCUGAGGCACGAAAGCGUGGGGAUCAAACAGG
rnacentral:rRNA from 1 species